UCGAGCGAGAGGGAGUAGCAAUACUCUAGUAAAGCGGCGCACGGGUGAGUAACACGUGGGUAAUCUGCCUCGAAGUGGGGAAUAACACCGGGAAACCGGUGCUAAUACCGCAUAAUCUGACGGAGUCUGCGGAUUUUGUCAGCAAAGGAGCAAUUCGCUUUGAGAGGAGCCCGCGGCUGAUUAGCUAGUUGGUGAGGUAAUGGCUCACCAAGGCUACGAUCAGUAGCCGGUCUGAGAGGACGGUCGGCCACACUGGAACUGAGACACGGUCCAGACUCCUACGGGAGGCAGCAGUGGGGAAUUUUUCGCAAUGGGGGCAACCCUGACGAAGCAACGCCGCGUGGAUGAUGAAGUCUCUUGGGACGUAAAAUCCUUUCGACGGGGACGAAACCGCAAGGUUGACGGUACCCGUAGAAGAAGCCCCGGCUAACUCCGUGCCAGCAGCCGCGGUAAUACGGGGGGGGCAAGCGUUGUUCGGAAUUACUGGGCGUAAAGGGCGCGUAGGCGGCUCACUAAGUCGGAUGUGAAAACUCUGGGCUCAACCCAGAGCCUGCAUCCGAAACUGGUGGGCUAGGGUGCUGGAGGGGAUAGCGGAAUUCCUGGUGUAGCGGUGAAAUGCGUAGAUAUCAGGAGGAACACCGGUGGCGAAGGCGGCUAUCUGGACAGUAACCGACGCUGAGGCGCGAAAGCUAGGGGAGCAAACAGGAUUAGAUACCCUGGUAGUCCUAGCCCUAACGAUGGAUACUUGCUGUGAGGGGAUUGAAUCC
rnacentral:rRNA from 1 species